rnacentral:rRNA from 1 species
UGGGGAAUAUUGCACAAUGGGCGAAAGCCUGAUGCAGCAACGCCACGUGAGUGAUGAAGGUCUUCGGAUUGUAAAGCUCUGUCUUUUGGGACGAUAAUGACGGUACCAAAGGAGGAAGCCGCGGCUAACUACGUGCCAGCAGCCGCGGUAAUACGUAGGUGGCGAGCGUUGUCCGGAUUUACUGGGCGUAAAGGGUGCGUAGGCGGAUGUUUAAGUGAGAUGUGAAAUACCCGGGCUUAACUUGGGUGCUACAUUUCAAACUGGAUAUCUAGAGUGCAGAAGAGGAGAAUGGAAUUCCUAGUGUAGCGGUGAAAUGCGUAGAGAUUAGGAAGAACACCAGUGGCGAAGGCGAUUCUCUGGACUGUAACUGACGCUGAGGCACGAAAGCGUGGGUAGCAAACAGGAUUAGAUACCCUGGUAGUCCACGCCGUAAAACGAUGAGUACUAGGUGUAGGAGGUAUCGACCCCUUCUGUGCCGCAGUA